rnacentral:rRNA from 1 species
CCGAAUGGGGAAACCCAGUGUGAUUCGUCACACUAUCAUUAACUGAAUCCAUAGGUUAAUGAGGCGAACCGGGGGAACUGAAACAUCUAAGUACCCCGAGGAAAAGAAAUCAACCGAGAUUCCCCCAGUAGCGGCGAGCGAACGGGGAGGAGCCCAGAGCCUGAAUCAGCAUGUGUGUUAGUGGAAGCGUCUGGAAAGGCGCGCGAUACAGGGUGACAGCCCCGUACACAAAAGCGCAUGUGUUGUGAGCUCGAUGAGUAGGGCGGGACACGUGGUAUCCUGUCUGAAUAUGGGGGGACCAUCCUCCAAGGCUAAAUACUCCUGACUGACCGAUAGUGAACCAGUACCGUGAGGGAAAGGCGAAAAGAACCCCGGCGAGGGGAGUGAAAAAGAACCUGAAACCGUGUACGUACAAGCAGUGGGAGCACCCUUCGGGGUGUGACUGCGUACCUUUUGUAUAAUGGGUCAGCGACUUAUAUUCUGUAGCAAGGUUAACCGAAUAGGGGAGCCG